rnacentral:rRNA from 1 species
UAGGGAAUCUUCCACAAUGGACGGAAGUCUGAUGGAGCAACGCCGCGUGAGUGAAGAAGGGUUUCGGCUCGUAAAACUCUGUUGUUAAAGAAGAACAUAUCUGAGAGUAACUGUUCAGGUAUUGACGGUAUUUAACCAGAAAGCCACGGCUAACUACGUGCCNG